rnacentral:rRNA from 1 species
CCUGAAGAGCCGCAGUGAAUAGGCCCAGGCGACUGUUUAGCAAAAACACAGGUCUCUGCGAAGCCGCAAGGCGAAGUAUAGGGGCUGACGCCUGCCCGGUGCUGGAAGGUUAAGAGGAGGGGUUAGCUCACGCGAAGCUCUGAAUCGAAGCCCCAGUAAACGGCGGCCGUAACUAUAACGGUCCUAAGGUAGCGAAAUUCCUUGUCGGGUAAGUUCCGACCCGCACGAAAGGCGUAACGAUCUGGGCACUGUCUCAAC